GUCCCGGUAGUUCAGUUGGAUAGAGCAACAGUCUUCGAAACUGUAAGUCGGGCGUUCGAGUCGCUCCCGGGACGC
rnacentral:tRNA from 1 species